AGUGAGUUGGCAGAAUAGUGCAAUUGAUUUAGGAUCAAUUUAUGGUUAAUAGCCACACACUA
rnacentral:tRNA from 1 species